UCUCUCCUGUGCUCCUGCGAAAGCGUCCCUUCCAUUUGGCAACGUGCCCAGAGGAGUCUGCAAAGCUGCUAUUAAGGAAGGGUUGUGGAAGGAACUGGUCGAGGAAUGACGUGAGGCUUGAAGGACUGCCUGAGCUGGAGCUUGCAGCCAAACCUCUGUGCCCUGCAGCACCAGUUAGUCCAUCUCCCCAACUCUGGCUGAGUCCUGUCGAAACCUGUUUGUACUGGAGGCCUCCACAUUAUCUGGUGCCAAUGAGUUCCCCGGUUCAAUUACGUAUGUGAAACAGCACAAAAAUCUU